ACAAUCAUAUCACGUUGAAACACUGAUUCUCGUACAAUCACCGAAGUUAAGCAACGUCGAGCCUACUCAGUACCUAGAUGGGUGACCGCUUGGGAAUACCACG
rnacentral:rRNA from 1 species